rnacentral:rRNA from 1 species
CCUACGGGAGGCAGCAGUGAGGAAUAUUGGUCAAUGGGCGCGAGCCUGAACCAGCCAAGUCGCGUGAGGGAAGACGGUCCUAUGGAUUGUAAACCUCUUUUGUCGGGGAGCAAAAGACGCCACGCGUGGCGUUCCGAGAGUACACGAAGAAAAAGCAUCGGCCAACUCCGUGCCAGCCGCCGCGGUAAUAAGGAGGCUGCGAGAGUUAUCCGGAUUUAUUGGGUUUUAAGGGUGCGCAGGCGGCAGAUCAAGACAGCGGUAAAAUUUAGAGGCUCAAACUCGUCGAGCCGUUGAAACGGGUGUUCUUGAGGGAGUGAGAAGUAUGCGGAAGGCG